UAUCUGGUAUGGAGUAUAGAUGGAUAA
rnacentral:sRNA from 1 species